AGCAGCCGCGGUAAUUCCAGCUCCAAUAGCGUAUAUUAAAGUUGUUGCAGUUAAAAAGCUCGUAGUUGAAUUUCGGGAUCAAUGCGUCGGUCGUGCCUUCGGUACGUACUAGCGUCAUUGAUUCCUCCCUUCUGAAGAACCGUGAUGUCAUUAAUUUGGUGUUACGGGGAAUCAGGACUGUUACCUUGAAAAAUUAGAGUGUUUAAAGCAGGCUAACGCUUGAAUACAUUAGCAUGGAAUAAUGAAAUAGGACGUUCGAACCUAUUUUGUUGGUUUCUAGGAUCGACGUAAUGAUUAAUAGGGAUAGUUGGGGGCAUUAGUAUUCAAUUGUCAGAGGUGAAAUUCUUGGAUUUAUUGAAGACUAACUACUGCGAAAGCAUUUGCCAAGGAUGUUUUCAUUAAUCAAGAACGAAAGUUAGGGGAUCGAAGACGAUCAGAUACCGUCGUAGUCUUAACCAUAAACUAUGCCGACUAGGGAUCGGAUGAUGUUAAUUUUUUAAUGUACUCAUUCGGCGCCUUA
rnacentral:misc_RNA from 1 species